rnacentral:rRNA from 1 species
GAUGAACGCUGGCGGCGUGCUUAACACAUGCAAGUCGAACGAUGAAGCCCAGCUUGCUGGGUGGAUUAGUGGCGAACGGGUGAGUAACACGUGAGUAACCUGCCCCUAACUCUGGGAUAAGCCUGGGAAACUGGGUCUAAUACCGGAUAGGAGCGCCUACCGCAUGGUGGGUGUUGGAAAGAUUUAUCGGUUUUGGAUGGACUCGCGGCCUAUCAGCUUGUUGGUGAGGUAAUGGCUCACCAAGGCGACGACGGGUAGCCGGCCUGAGAGGGUGACCGGCCACACUGGGACUGAGACACGGCCCAGACUCCUACGGGAGGCAGCAGUGGGGAAUAUUGCACAAUGGGCGAAAGCCUGAUGCAGCGACGCCGCGUGAGGGAUGACGGCCUUCGGGUUGUAAACCUCUUUCAGUAGGGAAGAAGCGAAAGUGACGGUACCUGCAGAAGAAGCACCGGCUAACUACGUG